GAUGAACGCUGGCGGCGUGCCUAAUACAUGCAAGUCGAACGAAACUUCUUUAUCACCGAGUGCUUGCACUCACCGAUAAAGAGUUGAGUGGCGAACGGGUGAGUAACACGUGGGCAACCUGCCCAAAAGAGGGGGAUAACACUUGGAAACAGGUGCUAAUACCGCAUAACCAUAGUUACCGCAUGGUAACUAUGUAAAAGGUGGCUAUACUACCGCUUUUGGAUGGGCCCGCGGCGCAUUAGCUAGUUGGUAGGGUAAAGGCUUACCAAGGCAAUGAUGCGUAGCCGAAUUGAGAGGUUGAUCGGCCACAUUGGGACUGAGACACGGCCCAAACUCCUACGGGAGGCAGCAGUAGGGAAUCUUCCACAGUGGGCGAAAGCCUGAUGGAGCAACGCCGCGUGGGUGAAGAAGGUCUUCGGAUCGUAAAACCCUGUUGUUAGAGAAGAAAGUGCGUGAGAGUAACUGUUCACGUUUCGACGGUAUCUAACCAGAAAGCCACUGCUAACUACGUG
rnacentral:rRNA from 1 species